rnacentral:rRNA from 1 species
UACGUAGGGUGCAAGCGUUGUCCGGAAUUAUUGGGCGUAAAGGGCGCGUAGGCGGCCUUCUAAGUCCCGUGUGAAAGCCCUCGGCUUAACCGGGGAACUGCGUCUGAUACUGGAUGGCUUGAGAUUGGGAGAGGGAUGCGGAAUUCCAGGUGUAGCGGUGAAAUGCGUAGAUAUCUGGAGGAACACCGGUGGCGAAGGCGGCAUCCUGGACCAACACUGACGCUGAGGAGCGAAAGCCAGGGGAGCAAACGGG